rnacentral:misc_RNA from 1 species
GUAGGUGAACCUGCGGAAGGAUCAUUAUUGAAAUAAACCUGAUGGGUUGUUGCUGGUUCUCUAGGGAGCAUGUGCACGCCUUGUCAUCUUUAUAUCUCCACCUGUGCACUUUUUGUAGGCCUUUCAGGUCUAUGUUGCUUCAUUUACCCCAAUGUAUGUCAAUAGAAUGUUGUGCCUAUUUAUUAUAUAUACAACUUUCAGCAACGGAUCUCUUGGCUCUCGCAUCGAUGAAGAACGCAGCAUCUGACUG